GGAUGAGCCCGCGGCCUAUCAGCUUGUUGGUGGGGUAACGGCCUACCAAGCCGAUGACGGGUAGGGGGCGUGAGAGCGUGGCCCCCCACACGGGAACUGAGACACGGUCCCGACGCCUACGGGCGGCAGCAGUGAGGAAUCUUGCGCAAUGGGGGAAACCCUGACGCAGCGACGCCGCGUGCGGGAGGAAGGCCUUCGGGUCGUAAACCGCUUUUCUGGGGGACGAGUAAGGACGGUACCCCAGGAAGAAGUCCCGGCUAACUACGUGCCAGCAGCCGCGGCCGA
rnacentral:rRNA from 1 species